rnacentral:rRNA from 1 species
GGAGGGGGCCAGCGUUGUUCGGAAUCAUUGGGCGUAAAGGGCGCGUAGGCGGCUUUGUAAGUCCGUUGUGAAAUCCCUCGGCUCAACCGAGGAACUGCGACGGAUACUGCUUGGCUUGAGUCCCGGAGAGGGUAGCGGAAUUCCCAGUGUAGCGGUGAAAUGCGUAGAUAUUGGGAGGAACAUCGGUGGCGAAGGCGGCUACCUGGACGGGUACUGACGCUGAUGCGCGAAAGCUAGGGGAGCAAACAGGAUUAGAUACCCUGGUAGUCCUAGCUGUAAACGAUGGGCACUUGGUGUUGCGGGUAUCGACCCCUGCAGUGCCGAAGCUAACGCAUUAAGUGCCCCGCCUGGGGAGUACGGUCGCAAGGGUG